UACGGGGGGGCAAGCGUUGUUCGGAAUUACUGGGCGUAAAGGGUUCGUAGGUGGCCAACUAAGUCAGACGUGAAAUCCCUCAGCUUAACUGGGGAACUGCGUCUGAUACUGGUUGGCUUGAGUGCAGGAGAGGAAUGCGGAAUUCCAGGUGUAGCGGUGAAAUGCGUAGAUAUCUGGAGGAACACCGGUGGCGAAGGCGGGUCUCUGGGCCGAUACUGACGCUGAGGAGCGAAAGCGUGGGGAGCGAACAGG
rnacentral:rRNA from 1 species